GUUCUUAAGGAAGGAAUUUGGGUUCUCUGAAACUGUAAAGAAGAAGCUUUGUUUCUUAGGUUGUCGGAUUUCGAUGUAUAUGCUUUGAAUGCGAUAUGAGACCAAUACAUCACAGUGCAGGUAAAGAAGAGGCUAUAAAUUGAGGCGCAAACACCAACAAUUUUCACCUUUUCAUCACCAGAAACAGGCUUGGAAAACGUUUGACAUAAUUCCUGAACCAGUUCUCUUUGCUCAUCCAUUCCAAUUGUUUGCAAUACCCACUAAUUCAUUCCUACCAGCCACCGGAAUUCUCAAAUCAGAAGGUGAAAUUUGAUCAAAUUUAAGGUGUCAAUUAAGUUGGUUUAAUUAUUUGAUUCAUAUAAAUUACAGAUGUAAUUGAUAGUUUAAGUAACUUGCUCAUGUUUAUCUUUU